rnacentral:rRNA from 1 species
GACGAACGCUGGCGGCGUGCCUAAUACAUGCAAGUCGAGCGGACCGAACAGGAGCUUGCUCUUGUUCGGUUAGCGGCGGACGGGUGAGUAACACGUGGGUAACCUGCCCGUAAGACCGGGAUAACUCCGGGAAACCGGAGCUAAUACCGGAUAACACCGAAGACCGCAUGGUCUUUGGUUGAAAGGCGGCUUCGGCUGCCACUUACGGAUGGGCCCGCGGCGCAUUAGCUAGUUGGUGAGGUAACGGCUCACCAAGGCGACGAUGCGUAGCCGGCCUGAGAGGGUGACCGGCCACACUGGGACUGAGACACGGCCCAGGCUCCUACGGGAGGCAGCAGUAGGGAAUCUUCCGCAAUGGACGAAAGUCUGACGGAGCGACGCCGCGUGAGCGAAGAGGGUCUUCGGAUCGUAAAGCUCUGUUGUUAGGGAAGAAGAAGCGUCGUUCGAACAGGGCGGCGCGGUGACGGUACCUAACGAGAAAGCCCCGGCUAACUACGUG